GGUAUUGGUAUUACCCACAUGGCGUUGACGUUCUGUAAAGGACGCCAUUGAUGAGUCCUUUCCGCGUUUCCAUUCAAAACCCUAAUUUUUCUUCUUUUUCAUAUUAAUUUCCUCAUUGUUAUCUCUACAGAUACAGCGAUAAAAUCAUAUUUUAUUAUUUUAAUCAGGGUUUAUUAUCUGUAUUGCGUUUAAUUGGUAUUUCUUCUUCUCUGUAUUACGUUUGAUCCGAAUUUUUAAUUUUUUUUUCUCAAAUUAGGGUUUCUGGGUUUGAAUUUUUUGUUGUGUUCCCUCAGAAGAACAUCGAUUUUUUUUUAUUUUUUUAUUUCUUAAUUCCUGGGAUUUGUGAAGUGGGUUGUGUGUGUAAGCCUUGAUUUUUGGUUAUUUUUUUUCGUUGUUAUUGUUGUUGUUUGAUUAUCGAUGGGGAAGCCCACUGGGAAGAAGAAGACUCCGGGGCCGUCGAAACCGGGCGACGCCAGCGCGAAGCACGGAAAAACGACGGCCUUUGAUGAGGACACGGCUGUCUUCAUCACAAUGUCUCAGGAAUUGAAAGAAGAAGGUAACAAGCUGUUUCAAAAGCGCGACCAUGAAGGGGCGAUGUUGAAGUAUGAAAAAGCCCUAAAGUUGCUUCCCAAAAACCAUAUUGAUAUUGCCUAUUUGAGGUCUAACAUGGCCUCUUGCUAUAUGCUAAUGGGCAUUGGGGAGUACCCACGAGCAAUAAACCAAUGCAAUUUGGCGAUUGAGGUCUCCCCAAAAUACAGUAAGGCGCUUUUGAAGCGUGCUAAGUGUUAUGAGGCUCUGAAUAGACUUGAUUUAGCAUUGAAGGAUGUUAACAGUAUUCUGAGUAUUGAAUCUAAUAAUCUUGCUGCGUUGGAGAUCGCAGACAGGGUUAAAAAGGCCAUAGAGGAAAAGGGUAUCAAGGUAGAUGAUAAGGAAAUUGUUAUGGCUGCGGAGUAUACCGAGUCACCUCCCUAUAAGGCUGUAAAACAGAAGACUAAGAAGAAGAAGAGUAACAAAACUGAGGUGAAGAAACUGCUGGAUAAGGCAGUUGUGAAACCGGUGGAUAAGGCAGUUGUGAAACCGGUAGAUAAGGCAGUUGUGGAGGAGAAUGUUGGUGUUGUUAAGGAGAAUGUUGAUGCUGUUAAGGAGAAUGUUGAUGCUGUUAAGGAGAAGGCAGUGGCUCCAGAGACUGCUGAGGAAGAAGAAGUUGUUGUUUCAGAGAUUGUGAAGGAAGAACAAGUGGUGACCGUGAGUAGGCCUGUGAAGUUGGUGUUCAAUGAGGAUAUAAGGUGGGCACAGUUACCGGUUAAUUGUAGUAUUCGAUUGGUGAGGGACAUAGUUCAAGACCGGUUUCCAAGCUUGAAGGGUAUUCUUGUAAAAUAUAGGGAUCAUGAAGGUGAUUUGGUUACAAUCACAACAAAUGAUGAGUUGAGAUUUGCAGAAGCUUCAGGUGAUCCACAGGGGUCUCUUAGAUUGUAUGUUGCAGAAGUUAGUCCAGAUCAUGAGCCGCUGUAUGAAGGAAUGGAGAAUGAGGAGGAGGUGUACAAUCAUGAUAGGAGAGGAAUUCAUGUUAAGGAGAAUGGAAAUGUGGAGAAAGGUGGAGACAUGGAAAAUGGGUUCUCGUGUAUUGAUGACUGGAUAGUACAGUUUGCACGAUUGUUCAAGAACUAUGUUGGGUUCAAUUCUGAUUCAUACUUGGAUCUUCAUGAGCUUGGGAUGAAGCUGUACUCAGAGGCGAUGGAGGAUGCUGUUACAAGUGAAGAAGCCCAAGAACUUUUUGAAAUUGCUGCUGACAAGUUUCAAGAGAUGGCAGCUUUGGCCUUGUUCAAUUGGGGAAAUGUUCACAUGUCCAUGGCAAGAAAGAGGGUGUUCCUCACGGAAGAUGGAUCAAGGGAAUCUAUUAUUGCUCAGAUUAAAACUGCAUAUGAGUGGGCACAGAAAGAAUAUAUCAAGGCAAGUUUGAGGUAUGAAGAAGCUCUAAAAAUCAAACCCGACUUCUAUGAAGGUCAUCUUGCACUUGGGCAGCAGCAGUUUGAGCAAGCAAAACUUUCUUGGUAUUAUGCAAUUGGGUGCAAGAUUGAUUUAGAGUCAGGGCCUUCCAUGGAGGUCCUACAGCUGUAUAACAAGGCUGAGGACAGCAUGGAGAGGGGCAUGCUGAUGUGGGAGGAGAUGGAGGAGCGGCGUCUGAAUGGCCUCUCGAAAUUGGAUAAAUAUCAGGCCCAGUUGCAGAAAAUGGGUUUGGAUGCGCUAUUCAAAGAUAUAUCUGCCAGUGACGUUGCAGAGCAGGCUGCAAACAUGAAGUCACAGAUAUACCUCUUGUGGGGUACAUUGCUUUAUGAGCGUUCAAUUGUGGAAUUCAAGUUGGGGCUACUGUCGUGGGAAGAAUGUUUGGAGGUUGCAGUUGAAAAGUUUGAACUUGCUGGAGCUUCUCCAACUGAUAUAGCUGUUAUGAUAAAGAACCAUUGUUCCAAUGGAGCUGCACUGGAAGGUUUGGGAUUCGACAUUAAUGAGAUUGUACAAGCAUGGAAUGAAAUGUAUGAUGCUAAGAGGUGGCAGAUUGGUGUUCCAUCUUUUCGAUUGGAACCAUUGUUUCGUCGGCGGGUUCCAAAACUUCAUCAUAUCUUGGAGCAUAUUUGAGGUUCUCUGUUAGUUAUUGGCUAUUCUUACAAGGCAUUGAAGAAGAUCAUCAGUAUUAUCAUUUCAUCAUCCAAGAGCUACAGUAUCAGUGUUAAGGUAGGUCUUUUUUCAGCAUGGAUUAUUGUGUCUGUUUGAGUGUUGGCUUGGUACCUAGUCAGUGUCUUUUUGCUGCGAAGCUGCUAGUAUCAUAUUUUCUUUUGGGGAUUCUUUUGAGGACUAUAGGAAGCAAGAUUUUUUAUUCUUUUCAAUUGGAUGGUUCACAGUUUGAGGUAUAGUUUUUAGUGUUGGUUUUGCAUUUAGAGUGUAAUUGUGAUUGGGCUGCAAAGCCAGGUAUGCCAUUUUUUUUGCAUCUGUAGGGGAUUUUCCCUUGAAAGACUACAGGAAGCAGGAUUAUUUGCUUAUAAAUUACAAUUGCUCACAGUUUGAGAAUA